rnacentral:rRNA from 1 species
UACGGGGGGGGCAAGCGUUGUUCGGAAUUACUGGGCGUAAAGGGCUCGUAGGUGGCCAACUAAGUCAUACGUGAAAUCCCUCGGCUUAACCGGGGAACUGCGUCUGAUACUGGAUGGCUUGAGGUUGGGAGAGGGAUGCGGAAUUCCAGGUGUAGCGGUGGAAUGCGUAGAUAUCUGGAGGAACACCGGUGGCGAAGGCGGCAUCCUGGACCAAUUCUGACACUGAGGAGCGAAAGCCAGGGGAGCAAACGGG